GCUACCAUAGCCUUGUGGUUAGAGCGUCCGCCUCGGAUGCGGGAGGUCGUGGGUUCGAUCCCCGGUCGAGUCA